rnacentral:piRNA from 1 species
UUUCAACAGAGAUGGCAAGG